rfam:Bacillus anthracis str. 'Ames Ancestor', complete genome.
UUUUCUAAAUCGCUGAAACCGCAUGGUACGGGGGACCCGUUCUUAUGGAUUAGUUCUUAAUCCAAUGGGGUGAAUCCUUGAAAAAGGUAGGGCUACUCAUAGGCCCGAAUCCGACAGCUAACCUCGUAAGCGUUAUAUUGAGAAGGA